GAUUACUAGCAACUCCAGCUUCAUGUAGGCGAGUUUCAGCCUACAAUCCGAACUGAGACAAGUUUUUGAGUUUUGCUCCACCUCGCGGUCUUGCUUCUCUUUGUACUUGCCAUUGUAGCACGUGUGUAGCCCUAGACAUAAGGGGCAUGAUGAUUUGACGUCAUCCCCACCUUCCUCCCGGUUAACCCGGGCAGUCUCGCUAGAGUGCUCAACUAAAUGGUAGCAACUAACAAUAAGGGUUGCGCUCGUUGCGGGACUUAACCCAACAUCUCACGACACGAGCUGACGACAACCAUGCACCACCUGUCUUCCUGUCGCCGAAGCGACUUCCCCGAUUAAGGGUAAUGCAGGAGAUGUCAAGUCUAGGUAAGGUUCUUCGCGUUGCUUCGAAUUAAACCACAUGCUCCACUGCUUGUGCGGGCCCCCGUCAAUUCCUUUGAGUUUUAAUCUUGCGACCGUACUCCCCAGGCGGAAUACUUAAUGCGUUAGCGGCGGCACAGAGGUCAUGACAACCCCUACACCU
rnacentral:rRNA from 1 species